rnacentral:rRNA from 1 species
AGAGUUUGAUCCUGGCUCAGAAUGAACGUUGGCGGCGUGGAUUAGGCAUGCAAGUCGUGCGGUAAGGCUCCUUCGGGAGUACACGAGCGGCGAAAGGGAGAGUAACGCGUGGUUCAUCUACCCUCGGGUCCGGAAUAGCGUCGGGAAACUGGCGGUAAUGCCGGAUAACAUCUUCGGAUCAAAGGUGUGAUUCCGCCUGAGGAUGAGACCGCGUCCUAUUAGCUAGUUGGUGGGGUAAAAGCCUACCAAGGCUGUGAUGGGUACCGGGUGUGAGAGCAUGGCCCGGCUCACUGGGACUGAGACACUGCCCAGACACCUACGGGUGGCUGCAGUCGAGAAUCUUCGGCAAUGGGCGAAAGCCUGACCGAGCGACGCCGCGUGUGGGACUGAAGGCCUUCGGGUUGUAAACCACUGUCAGAGGGAAGCAAAUGCAUGGUGGCUAUCCAUCAUGUUUGAGUGAUCCUCAGAGGAAGUCCGGGCUAAGUUCGUGCCAGCAGCCGCGGUAACACGAACCGGACGAACGUUAUUCGGAAUCACUGGGCUUAAAGAGUCCGUAGGCGGUCUGGUAGGUGAGAUGUGAAAUCCCCCGGCUCAACCGGGGAACUGCGUUUCAAACCAUCAGACUUGAGGAAGAUAGAGGUAAGCGGAACUAGCGGUGGAGCGGUGAAAUGCGUUGAUAUCGCUGGGAACACCAGAGGCGAAGCGCUUACUGGGUCUUUUCUGACGCUGAGGGACGAAAGCUAGGGGAGCGACGGGAUUAGAUACCC